GGCGAUAUGGCCGAGCGGUCUAAGGCGCCAGAAUCAGGAUAUUGUCCUAUCUGGUCCUCACGGGCGUGGGUUCGAAUCCCACUGUCGUCA
rnacentral:tRNA from 1 species